rnacentral:rRNA from 1 species
UACGGGGGGGGCAAGCGUUGUUCGGAAUUACUGGGCGUAAAGGGCGCGUAGGCGGUUCGAUGAGUCGGGUGUGAAACCUCCAGGCUCAACCUGGAGACGCCACCCGAUACUGUCGUGACUAGAGUCCAGUAGGGGAGCGUGGAAUUCCUGGUGUAGCGGUGAAAUGCGCAGAUAUCAGGAGGAACACCAGCGGCGAAGGCGGCGCUCUGGGCUGGAACUGACGCUGAGGAGCGAAAGCGUGGGGAGCAAACAGG